rnacentral:rRNA from 1 species
AGUGAACGCUGGCGGCAUGCCUAACACAUGCAAGUCGAACGGCAGCACAGCAGUAGCAAUACUGUGGGUGGCGAGUGGCGGACGGGUGAGGAACACAUCGGAAUUUGCCCAGUCGUGGGGGAUAACGUAGGGAAACUUACGCUAAUACCGCAUACGACCUAACGGUGAAAGCGGGGGAUCGCAAGACCUCGCGCGGAUGGAUAAGCCGAUGUCGGAUUAGCUAGUUGGCGGGGUAAAGGCCCACCAAGGCGACGAUCCGUAGCUGGUCUGAGAGGAUGAUCAGCCACACUGGGACUGAGACACGGCCCAGACUCCUACGGGAGGCAGCAGUGGGGAAUAUUGGACAAUGGGGGCAACCCUGAUCCAGCAAUGCCGCGUGUGUGAAGAAGGCCUUCGGUUGUAAAGCACUUUAUCGGACGAAACAUGUCGGUGAAUAUCCGGCAAGACUGAGGUACCCGAGGAAUAAGCACCGGCUAACUUCGUGCCAGCAGCCG